rnacentral:rRNA from 1 species
AGAGUUUGAUCAUGGCUCAGGACGAACGCUGGCGGCGUGCCUAAUACAUGCAAGUCGAGCGAAUCUGAGGGAGCUUGCUCCCAAAGGUUAGCGGCGGACGGGUGAGUAACACGUGGGCAACCUGCCUGUAAGACUGGGAUAACUUCGGGAAACCGGAGCUAAUACCGGAUAAUUCUUUCCUACACAUGUAGGAAAGCUGAAAGAUGGUUUCGGCUAUCACUUACAGAUGGGCCCGCGGCGCAUUAGCUAGUUGGUAAGGUAACGGCUCACCAAGGCAACGAUGCGUAGCCGACCUGAGAGGGUGAUCGGCCACACUGGGACUGAGACACGGCCCAGACUCCUACGGGAGGCAGCAGUAGGGAAUCUUCCGCAAUGGACGAAAGUCUGACGGAGCAACGCCGCGUGAGUGAUGAAGGUUUUCGGAUCGUAAAACUCUGUUGUUAGGGAAGAACAAGUACCGUUCAAAUAGGGCGGUACCAUGACGGUACCUGACGAGAAAGCCACGGCUAACUACGUGCCAGCAGCCGCGGUAAUACGUAGGUGGCAAGCGUUGUCCGGAAUUAUUGGGCGUAAAGCGCGCGCAGGCGGUUUCUUAAGUCUGAUGUGAAAGCCCACGGCUCAACCGUGGAGGGUCAUUGGAAACUGGGGAACUUGAGUGCAGAAGAGGAGAGUGGAAUUCCACGUGUAGCGGUGAAAUGCGUAGAGAUGUGGAGGAACACCAGUGGCGAAGGCGACUCUCUGGUCUGUAACUGACGCUGAGGCGCGAAAGCAUGGGGAGCGAACAGGAUUAGAUACCCUGGUAGU